GCGGGGGCUCGGGUCUGGGCGCCGAGUUAGGGACUGGGCUGACCGAGGCCGGGCUGUGGAGAGCGAGCUUGGGGACCCAGCGGGCGGGGCGAGGUCGCUCUGUGCCGCCUACGCCGGAUGCACAGCCGGCCCUCUCCGCGCCCACGCACCCACGUGAGCGCCCCGCCGGCCACAUUCCUACUUCCCCCACCACCCCUACUCCUCUGAGCUGAGAGCGCAGUUUCACCACCAGGCAUGGGUACACAAAGACAGAGAAGCGAACUACGUGCACGCGCGUCUAAACAACUACGUGGACGCCGCUACCCACACUCCGGCCUCGCUGAGCUGCUGCUCCUGUGAACGUUAGGAGCGAGCGGGGAAAAGUUAGCGAAGGCCCGGGGAGCGCUGCUCCUGUGCGCGUAUCUGACUGCCUUAGAGUGUGAACUUGUGACACCUGUGAGUGUGGGGCUCUGCAGAAAUCCUUGAUAUCCCGUCGCCCUCCGUCAGACCCAUAAGGAGAAGUUUGAGGAAGCUGCUCUUUGAAACCCAGGCCUCCUCAUCCCUGCAUGGAGUCGUCGCCGAAGUUUUGGAAAAUAGGGAUGGGCCAGUUGUGCUAGAAGGCACCAUUUAGGCGCUUGUUGAUUGGCCGCGUGGGGUUUUGUUCGCAUAGAUGUUUUUACCGUGCCGAAUGUGGCUCACUCAGCAAGGUUCUUCUCAAACUCACCUACCUGGACCCGAUCUUUCUAGACCCUUUCCUGUCCUCCGUGGCCUCAUGGGUCUUUGUACACCACUUCAGUUAGUUGCUUGUUUCACCCUCAGCUCGGGACCUCUCCAUGGUAGGCCUGAUACCUGGUGGGUCUUCUUAAAUGAAUGAAUGGAGGAUGCUGUUUACACGUCAGAGCAAUUUUGAAAAGGGAAAUAAAUACAGAUUUCAC
rnacentral:lncRNA from 1 species